CCUACGGGGGGCAGCAGUGAGGAAUAUUGGUCAAUGGGCGGAAGCCUGAACCAGCCAAGUAGCGUGCAGGAUGACGGCCCUACGGGUUGUAAACUGCUUUUAUACGGGAAUAACGCGCCUUACGUGUAGGGCUUUGCAUGUACCCUAUGAAUAAGCAUCGGCUAACUCCGUGCCAGCAGCCGCGGUAAUACGGAGGAUGCGAGCGUUAUCCGGAUUUAUUGGGUUUAAAGGGCGCGUAGGUUGUUUGUUAAGUCAGAGGUGAAAGUUUGUGGCUCAACCAUAAAAUUGCCGUUGAAACUGGAAGACUUGAGUGUGUGAGAGGUAGGCGGAAUGCGUGGUGUAGCGGUGAAAUGCAUAGAUAUCACGAAGAACACCGAUUGCGAAGGCAGCUUACUAGGACAUAACUGACGCUGAAGCACGAAAGCGUGGGGAGCAAACAGGAUUAGAUACCCCAGUAGUC
rnacentral:rRNA from 1 species